rnacentral:rRNA from 1 species
UGGGGAAUAUUGCGCAAUGGGGGAAACCCUGACGCAGCGACGCCGCGUGAGUGAAGAAGUAUUUCGGUAUGUAAAGCUCUAUCAGCAAGGAAGAUAAUGACGGUACUUGACUAAGAAGCCCCGGCUAACUACGUGCCAGCAGCCGCGGUAAUACGUAGGGGGCAAGCGUUAUCCGGAUUUACUGGGUGUAAAGGGAGCGUAGACGGUGAGGCAAGUCUGAUGUGAAAGCCCGGGGCUCAACCCCGGGACUGCAUUGGAAACUGUCAGACUAGAGUGCAGGAGAGGUAAGUGGAAUUCCUAGUGUAGCGGUGAAAUGCGUAGAUAUUAGGAGGAACACCAGUGGCGAAGGCGGCUUACUGGACUGUAACUGACGUUGAGGCUCGAAAGCGUGGGGAGCAAACAGG